rnacentral:rRNA from 1 species
CCCUUAGACGUUCUGGGCCGCACGCGCGCUACACUGACGGAGCCAGCGAGUAUAAACCUUGGCCGAGAGGUCUGGGAAAUCUUGUGAAACUCCGUCGUGCUGGGGAUAGAGCAUUGUAAUUAUUGCUCUUCAACGAGGAAUUCCUAGUAAGCGCAAGUCAUCAGCUUGCGUUGAUUACGUCCCUACCCUUUGUACACACCGCCCGUCGCUACUACCGAUUGAAUGGCUUAGUGAGGCUUCCGGAUUGGUUUAGAGAAGGGGGCAACUCCAUCUUGGAACCGAGAAGCUAGUCAAACUUGGUCAUUUAGAGGAAGUAAAAGUCGUAACA